rnacentral:rRNA from 1 species
AGCAGCCGCGGUAAUUCCAGCUCCAAUAGCGUAUAUUAAAGUUGUUGCAGUUAAAAAGCUCGUAGUUGAAUUUCGGGAUCAAUUAAUCGGUCGUGCCUCUGGUACGCACUGGUUUUAUUGGUUUCUCCCUUCUGACGAACCAGGAUGUCAUUAAUUUGGUGUCUUGGAGAAUCAGGACUGUUACUUUGAAAAAUUAGAGUGUUUAAAGCAGGCUAACGCUUGAAUACAUUAGCAUGGAAUAAUGAAAUAGGACGUUUGAUCCUAUUUUGUUGGUUUCUAGGAUCGACGUAAUGAUUAAUAGGGAUAGUUGGGGGCAUUAGUAUUCAAUUGUCAGAGGUGAAAUUCUUGGAUUUAUUGAAGACUAACUACUGCGAAAGCAUUUGCCAAGGAUGUUUUCAUUAAUACAAGAACGAAAGUUAGGGGAUCGAAGACGAUCAGAUACCGUCGUAGUCUUAACCAUAAACUAUAGCCGACUAGGGAUCGGAUGAUGUUAAUUUUAAUGACUCAUUCGGCGCC